rnacentral:rRNA from 1 species
CACGUAGGGUGCGAGCGUUGUCCGGAAUUAUUGGGCGUAAAGAGCUCGUAGGCGGUGUGUCGCGUCGGCCGUGAAAACCUGCAGCUUAACUGUGGCUUGCGGUCGAUACGGCAUCACUGGAGUUCGGCAGGGGAGACUGGAAUUCCUGUGUAGGCGGUGAAAUGCGCAGAUAUCAGGAGGAACACCGGUGGCGAAGGCGGGUCUCUGGGCCGAUACUGACGCUGAGGAGCGAAGCGUGGGGAGCGAACAGG